GUUGGAAACUUGGUAAUUAUCUAAUUAUCAUUCUCGGUGGUGCCAAGUUGUUGGAUUCAUUCGUUCAAGGAGUGGUUGUCCUCGUGAAAAUUUGAAGCAAAAGGGCGGUGAAUCAUUUUUGUGGGGUUUGUUAAAAACAGAAGAAGACGAUGAGGAAUAAGUUUGUAGUUUGGAAUUUUUCUUGGAAACGGAUGGGGUCAUGUUCAAAGUCUAGAACGUCGGAAGGGGAUGCUGGUAAUUCAAAAGGUGUUGCUGUUAAGGCGAAGUCCAAUCUCAAAAGAGGCAAACAGAAACAAAUUGCAUUGGAGCCUAUUAUUGAAGCUACGCUUCUGGUUUUGGUUCUACGCAAUCGGAGUACGAGGAAGAUGCAUCCAGUGGCGGAGCCAGGAUUUUCAAAUUGGGGGGACGGAUUAUGGAUAUAAUAUAAUUUGACAAAAAUCUUAACAAAAAAAAAAAAAAAAAACUCAAACACACAAAUUGGUUAAUACUUAAUUUUAAAAUUUCAAAAUACAAAAAAUACUUAGUCAUACAAUUCAAAAUGAUGAAAAAAAAUUACAUAAAUAUUAAGUUAAAAUUACACUUGCAUCCUUCGAGUCUUCAUAUUUUGAAAGCGAUCAAUAAUUUUUUCAUCAGAAACUUGUAAGAAGACAUCCUUCUUAAUAAAAGUAACUAAAUAAUCAU